rnacentral:tRNA from 3 species
GACUUAAAAAAUCCGUUGACUUUUAAAAUCGUGAGG